rnacentral:sRNA from 1 species
GCUGGGGUGGUCCCACGUGACCCCCUUUCCGCCGGCCCCACACCUCAGCCCAGGGCGCUGCCCCGCAACAAAGCUCCCCGGGACAGCCCCCGACCCUCAAAGCGGUAUUCUCCCUCCGGACCGAUCCACCCACCCUCAGAACCCAGCAGGCUUCACCUGCUGCCCAACAGACAGCCUUCCCAUCACACUAGCCACCUCCGGGUGCCCCGCCCCUGGUUCAUGCGUAGGCUCCCCCUCCCCAGGAGCUUCAGCCUGGACCCGCUCAUGGAGCGGCGCUGGGACUUAGACCUCACCUACGUGACGGAACGCAUCUUGGCCGCCGCCUUCCCCGCGCGGCCCGAUGAACAGCGGCACAGGGGCCACCUGCGCGAGCUGGCCCACGUGCUGCAAUCCAAGCACCGGGACAAGUACCUGCUCUUCAACCUUUCAGAGAAAAGGCAUGACCUGACCCGCUUAAACCCCAAGGUUCAAGACUUUGGCUGGCCUGAUCUGCAUGCUCCACCCCUGGACAAGCUGUGCUCCAUCUGCAAAGCCAUGGAGACGUGGCUCAGUGCUGACCCACAGCACGUGGUCGUACUAUACUGCAAGGGAAACAAGGGCAAGCUCGGGGUCAU